CGGCUAUAUUACGUUGUGGAAAACACCGGUUCCCGUACGACCAUUGAAGUUAAGCAAUGUGGAGCCCGGUCAUUAACUAGAUGGGUGACCGAUUGGGAAUACCAGGUGCUGUAA